UACGUAGGGUGCAAGCGUUAAUCGGAAUUACUGGGCGUAAAGCGUGCGCAGGCGGUUAUGUAAGACAGGUGUGAAAUCCCCGGGCUUAACCUGGGAACUGCAUUUGUGACUGCAUAGCUAGAGUACGGUAGAGGGGGAUGGAAUUCCGCGUGUAGCAGUGAAAUGCGUAGAUAUGCGGGGGAACACCGAUGGCGAAGGCAAUCCCCUGGACCUGUACUGACGCUCAUGCACGAAAGCGUGGGGAGCAAACAGG
rnacentral:rRNA from 1 species